CUUAUACAGUUUGCCCACACAGGCAGACUGAACUCCAGACUGACUCUGAGAAGGACGAACAGAAGGUUAUCAUAUUUAAUACCUCUAUCAUGAAGAUGCUGACUGCGUUUCUGCAUGUGUGUCUCAUCAUUGCUGUGACACAAAGUCAUCCUCUUUUUGAGGAAAUUGGGUCAGGUGACUCAAGUAAUGCAGAUGUUGGUUCGCCAGGAGCAACGGGAGACCCACCAUUUGCAACAGAUGUUCCAGAUGAAACAACAACUGUGAUAGCUGACUCAACUACUCAAGAGAGAAUCUAUUAUGACUCAGAGGAAGAUCUAGGAUUUCUGAGAGACAAACCAACUGUGAUAGCUGACUCAACUAAUGAUGAUGGAUACUUUUAUGACUCAGAUGAAGAACUAGGAUAUCCGAGAUGGAGAGAGGAAACAGGCGGGUCUGAUGAUUCAUCUAAUGGAGAUGGAGAAAAUUCUGACACAUCAGAAGAUGCACCAGAUGCAGCAGAGGAAACAGGCGGGUCUGAUGAUUCAUCUAAUGGAGAUGGAGAAAGUUCUGACACAUCAGAAGAUGCCCCAGUUGCAGCAGAUGCAGAUGAUGCCUGAAACAAAGACACCACCAUAUCAAGACACAUGAAGUUUUUUAAUAAAGAAAAGAGGGACUGCUUGGAUAACAUUGACUGUAAAACUGGAAACCAUAUGCUCCUGCAACAACUCUCUAACUCAUUCGUAAAAAGCACAAUAGCUGAUGUGUCUGUCUUCAUUACUGUUUCUUCCUCUGUAUUUCUGCAUUAUUGCUAUGAUGCAAGCAAUCAAGCAUCAUGUGCAAUAAAUUGGAACUGGAUAUUCACUUUAAAAGUCAGUAUGAUAAAAAGAAUACUUUCUGCACCUUUAUAUUAUAUAUACUGAGCUGCACUUCAUUUUCACAUGCAAAUUAAAACUAUUAGCAUUG
ensembl:lncRNA